UCCUCACACCGCACGGCAGGCACAGA
rnacentral:piRNA from 1 species